rnacentral:snRNA from 1 species
UAAAAUCUGUUCUUAUCAGUUUAAUAUCUGAUAUGUCCUUUCUUUGAGGACUGUAUAUAUUAAAUUGAUUUUUGAAACAGGGGGCCGGAAUAGGAGCUUGCUCUGUCCACCCCAUGCAUUGACCUGGUAUUGUAGUGUCUCCAGGAGCGGUGC